rnacentral:tRNA from 1 species
GCCUGGGUGGCUCAGUCGGUUGAGCGUCCGACUUCGGCUCAGGUCAUGAUCUCACGCUUCGUGGGCUCGAGCCCCUCAUCGGGCU